GAUGAGCGCUGGCGGCGUGCCUAAUACAUGCAAGUCGAGCGAACAGACGAGGAGCUUGCUCCUCUGACGUUAGCGGCGGACGGGUGAGUAACACGUGGAUAACCUACCUAUAAGACUGGGAUAACUUCGGGAAACCGGAGCUAAUACCGGAUAAUAUAUUGAACCGCAUGGUUCAAUAGUGAAAGACGGUUUUGCUGUCACUUAUAGAUGGAUCCGCGCCGCAUUAGCUAGUUGGUAAGGUAACGGCUUACCAAGGCAACGAUGCGUAGCCGACCUGAGAGGGUGAUCGGCCACACUGGAACUGAGACACGGUCCAGACUCCUACGGGAGGCAGCAGUAGGCAAUCUUCCGCAAUGGGCGAAAGCCUGACGGAGCAACGCCGCGUGAGUGAUGAAGGUCUUCGGAUCGUAAAACUCUGUUAUUAGGGAAGAACAAAUGUGUAAGUAACUAUGCACGUCUUGACGGUACCUAAUCAGAAAGCCACGGCUAACUACGUG
rnacentral:rRNA from 1 species